rnacentral:rRNA from 1 species
UACGUAGGGGGCAAGCGUUGUCCGGAAUCAUUGGGCGUAAAGCGCGUGUAGGCGGUCCGGUAAGUCCGCUGUGAAAGUCGGGGGCUCAACCCUCGGAUGCCGGUGGAUACUGUCGGGCUUGAGUACGGAAGAGGCGAGUGGAAUCCUGGUGUAGCGGUGAAAUGCGCAGAUAUCAGGAGGAACACCAAUUGCGAAGGCAGCUCGCUGGGACGUUAACUGACGCUGAGACGCGAAAGCGUGGGGAGCAAACAGG